rnacentral:rRNA from 1 species
AUUGAACGCUGGCGGCAGGCCUAACACAUGCAAGUCGAGCGGAUGAGAAGAGCUUGCUCUUCGAUUCAGCGGCGGACGGGUGAGUAAUGCCUAGGAAUCUGCCUGGUAGUGGGGGACAACGUUUCGAAAGGAACGCUAAUACUGCAUACGUCCUACGGGAGAAAGCAGGGGACCUUCGGGCCUUGCGCUAUCAGAUGAGCCUAGGUCGGAUUAGCUAGUUGGUGAGGUAAUGGCUCACCAAGGCGACGAUCCGUAACUGGUCUGAGAGGAUGAUCAGUCACACUGGAACGGAGACACGGUCCAGACUCCUACGGGAGGCAGCAGUGGGGAAUAUUGGACAAUGGGCGAAAGCCUGAUUCAGCCAUGCCGCGUGUGUGAAGAAGGUCUUCGGAUUGUAAAGCACUUUAAGUUGGGAGGAAGGGCAGUAAGUUAAUACCUUGCUGUUUUGACGUUACCGACAGAAUAAGCACCGGCUAACUCUGUGCCAGCCGCCGCGGUAAUAC